UGUCCCCUACGGGACGCAGCAGUGAGGAAUAUUGGUCAAUGGGAGAGAUCCUGAACCAGCCAAGCCGCGUGAGGGAAGACGGCCCUAUGGGUUGUAAACCUCUUUUGUCGGAGAACAAAACCCGGGACGUGUCCCGGACUGCGUGUAUCCGAAGAAAAAGCAUCGGCUAACUCCGUGCCAGCAGCCGCGGUAAUACGGAGGAUGCGAGCGUUAUCCGGAUUUACUGGGUGUAAAGGGCGUGUAGGCGGGAGAGCAAGUCAGACGUGAAAUUCCAGGGCUCAACCCUGGAACUGCGUUUGAAACUG
rnacentral:rRNA from 1 species